GGUCUGACGUCCUAGAGAUAGGGCUUCCCUUCGGGGCAGAGGUGACAGGUGGUGCAUGGUUGUCGUCAGCUCGUGUCGUGAGAUGUUGGGUUAAGUCCCGCAACGAGCGCAACCCUUAACUUUAGUUGCCAGCAUUGAGUUGGGCACUCUAGAGUGACUGCCGGUGACAAACCGGAGGAAGGUGGGGAUGACGUCAAAUCAUCAUGCCCCUUAUGACCUGGGCUACACACGUACUACAAUGGCUGGUACAACGGGAAGCGAAGCCGCGAGGCGGAGCGAAUCCUAAAAAGCCAGUCUCAGUUCGGAUUGCAGGCUGCAACUCGCCUGCAUGAAGUCGGAAUUGCUAGUAAUCGCGGAUCAGCAUGCCGCGGUGAAUACGUUCCCGGGUCUUGUACACACCGCCCGUCACACCACGAGAGUUUACAACACCCGAAGUCGGUGGGGUAACCGCAAGGAGCCAGCCGCCGAAGGUGGGGUAGAUGAUUGGGGUGAAGUCGUAACAGGGUAAGCCGUA
rnacentral:rRNA from 1 species